rnacentral:rRNA from 1 species
UUCCACCUACGGGGCGCAGCAGUGAGGAAUAUUGGUCAAUGGACGCAAGUCUGAACCAGCCAUGCCGCGUGCAGGAUGACGGCUCUAUGAGUUGUAAACUGCUUUUGUACGAGGGUAAACCCCGAUACGUGUAUCGGGUUGAAAGUAUCGUACGAAUAAGGAUCGGCUAACUCCGUGCCAGCAGCCGCGGUAAUACGGAGGAUCCGAGCGUUAUCCGGAUUUAUUGGGUUUAAAGGGUGCGCAGGCGGCACGGCAAGCCGGCGGUCAAAUCGCGGGGCUCAACCCCGCCCAGCCGUCGGAACUGC